GUGCAGGGCAGCUGGACCGCCACAGUUGUCAUGCCAGUGAUUAUAUGAUGGGGUGGGGCGAUCCAAGCUGUUUUAACUGACCAUAGUCAAAUCUUUGGGAAAAACGGUGGGGAUAAAACCAGAGAAUCUUUGUGUUCAUCACAGCUAACUGGGAUUCAGAAAGGUGUGGACAUUAAAAAUAGGCUAAUUGCCCCCUCCCUGAUGUCAGCCACAUUAAGGUGUUUCCGAAGAUACAUUUUUCAAAGAGGACGAAGCAGUCCCUGAAGAGUGGCAGGAGUGGGAGAAGGAUGCCACCACCAACAGUGGGGCUGCAGUCAUCUGGCGGGACUGGAGGAAGGAGAAGCAGACGUGGAAACUUCUUUCCCAGACACCCUUGAAGCUGUGUGACACAGUCCCAUUUUUUGUUUUUUAUGUCUCUUCUCCCAUGACUGAAGAUAAAAUGGCCAUUUUUUGACCAGAAGGAAGCACUAAGAGAAGCACAGACCUUGGCCCGACUAACUCAAGUAACCACCCUGCUCUGGAUUUCCUGUUGUACGAGAGAAUGAACAAACAAACAAAAAUCCUGUUUAUGUUAGCUCCUGCGUAUUUGCUUUUGUUUUUGGUACUGGGAAUCGAAAUCAGGACCUUGCACUUGCCAGACAGGUGCUUGUGCCACUGAGCUAUAUCCCCGGCUGUGUUAGCUCCUGUUUGUCAAAUUUUCUUUUAUGGCUAAAUGCUAUUACUGAUUGAUAUACUGAUGUCCUAUCUUGUCAAUAAUUUUAUCUUUUAAUACAGAACCAUCAGCAUUGUAUCAGUUCUUAUCUAUAAAUACCUGCCAGAUUUUGGAUAUUGCUUGAGAGUAAAGCUCAAUUUAAUUUUAUUUUUGACAAGAUUUCUUUGCUUUGUAUCCCU
rnacentral:lncRNA from 1 species